rnacentral:rRNA from 1 species
AAACUUCGCAAUGGGGGCAACCCCGACGAGGGAAUUCCAAGUGCCAGCACUUUGUGUUGGCUGUUCUUCUGUCUAAAAAACAGGAGGAGUAAGGGGCGGGUAAGACGGGUGCCAGCCGCCGCGGUAAUACCCGCGCCCCGAGUGGUGGUCGAUAUUAUUGAGCCUAAAACGUCCGUAGCCGGUCUUCUAAAUCCUUGGGUAAAUCGGGCAGCUUAACUGUCCGAAUUCCGAGGAGACUGGAAGACUUGGGACCGGGAGAGGUCAGAGGUACUUCUGGGGUAGGGGUAAAAUCCUGUAAUCCUGGAAGGACCACCGGUGGCGAAGGCGUCUGACUAGAACGGAUCCGACGGUGAGGGACGAAGCCCUGGGGCGCAAACGGGAUUAGAUACCCCGGUAGUCCAGGGUGUAAACGCUGCGGGCUUGGUGUUGGGGGUCCUUUGUGGGCGCCCAGUGCCGGAGAGAAGUUGUUAAGCCUGCUGCUUGGGGAGUAUGUCCGCAAGGAUGAAACUUAAAGGAAUUGGCGGGGGAGCAC